GACGAACGCUGGCGGCGUGCCUAAUACAUGCAAGUCGAACGGAGUGGCGCACGGGUGAGUAAUAUAUAGCUAAUCUGCCCCUUGCUGGAGGACAACAGUUAGAAAUGACUGCUAAUACUCCAUAGCAAGGGAUGAGACUAUAUCGUAUCAGCUAGUCGGUGGGGUAACGGCCUACCGAGGCUAUGACGCGUAACUGGUCUGAGAGGAUGAUCAGUCAAAUCGGAAGUGAGGCACCGGCCAAAAACCUACGGGAGGGAGCAGUAGGGAAUAGUGCGCAAUGGGGGAGACUCUGACGCAGCAACGGGGCGUGGAGGAUGAUCCUUAUCGGAGCAUAAACUCAUUUUGUUAGGGAAGCGGUACCUACAGAAGAAGCACCGGCUAACUCCGUGCCAGCAGCCGCGGUAAUAC
rnacentral:rRNA from 1 species